GACGAACGCUGGCGGCGUGCCUAAUACAUGCAAGUUGAGCGCUGAAGGUUGGUACUUGUACCAACUGGAUGAGCAGCGAACGGGUGAGUAACGCGUGGGGAAUCUGCCUUUGAGCGGGGGACAACAUUUGGAAACGAAUGCUAAUACCGCAUAAAAACUUUAAACACAAGUUUUAAGUUUGAAAGAUGCAAUUGCAUCACUCAAAGAUGAUCCCGCGUUGUAUUAGCUAGUUGGUGAGGUAAAGGCUCACCAAGGCGAUGAUACAUAGCCGACCUGAGAGGGGGAUCGGCGACAUGGGGACUGGGACACGGCCCAAACGCCUACGGGAGGCAGCAGUAGGGAAUCGUCGGCAAUGGACGAGAGUCUGACCGAGCAACGCCGCGUGAGUGAAGAAGGUUUUCGGAUCGUAAAACUCUGUUGGUAGAGAAGAACGUUGGUGGGAGUGGAAAGCUCAUCAAGUGACGGUAACUACCCAGAAAGGGACGGCUAACUACGUG
rnacentral:rRNA from 1 species